rnacentral:misc_RNA from 1 species
GAUGAAGAACGCAGCGAAAUGCGAUAAGUAAUGUGAAUUGCAGAAUUCAGUGAAUCAUCGAAUCUUUGAACGCACAUUGCGACCGCCAGUAUUCUGGCGGGCAUGCCUGUUCGAGCGUCAUUUCAACCAUCAAGCCCCCGGCUUGUGUUGGGGACCUGCGGCUGCCGCAGGCCCUGAAAAGCAGUGGCGGGCUCGCUGUCACACCGAGCGUAGUAGCAUACAUCUCGCUCUGGGCGUGCUGCGGGUUCCGGCCGUUAAACCACCUUCAUAACCCAAGGUUGACCUCGGAUCAGGUAGGAAGACCCGCUGAACUUAAGCAUAUCAAUAAGCGGAGGA